AGUGGGGAAUUUUGGACAAUGGGGGAAACCCUGAUCCAGCCAUGCCGCGUGAGUGAAGAAGGCCUUCGGGUUGUAAAGCUCUUUCAGCCGGAACGAAACGGUCACAGCUAAUACCUGUGACUACUGACGGUACCGGAAGAAGAAGCACCGGCUAACUACGUGCCAGCAGCCGCGGUAAUACGUAGGGUGCAAGCGUUAAUCGGAAUUACUGGGCGUAAAGCGUGCGCAGGCGGUUUUGUAAGUCAGAUGUGAAAUCCCCGGGCUUAACCUGGGAACUGCGUUUGAAACUACAAGGCUAGAGUGUGGCAGAGGGGGGUGGAAUUCCACGUGUAGCAGUGAAAUGCGUAGAGAUGUGGAGGAACACCGAUGGCGAAGGCAGCCCCCUGGGUUAACACUGACGCUCAGGCACGAAAGCGUGGGGAGCAAA
rnacentral:rRNA from 1 species